rnacentral:rRNA from 1 species
GAUGAACGCUGGCGGUAUGCUUAACACAUGCAAGUCGAACGGACUCUUCGGAGUUAGUGGCGGACGGGUGAGUAACGCGUGAGAAUCUGGCUUUGGGUUCGGGACAACCACUGGAAACGGUGGCUAAUACCGGAUGUGCCGAGAGGUAAAAGAGAAAUUGCCUGAAGAUGAGCUCGCGUCUGAUUAGCUAGUUGGUGAGGUAAAGGCUCACCAAGGCAGCGAUCAGUAGCUGGUCUGAGAGGAUGACCAGCCACACUGGGACUGAGACACGGCCCAGACUCCUGCGGGAGGCAGCAGUGGAGAAUUUUCCGCAAUGGGAGAAAGCCUGACGGAGCAAUGCCGCGUGAGGGAAGAAGGCUCUUGUGUUGUAAACCUCUUUUCUUAGGGAAGAACAAAAGGACGUUACCGAAGGAGUCAGCAUCGGCUAACUCCGU